CAAAGUCGCAAGACGACGUAUAGGGUCUGACGCCUGCCCGGUGCUAGGAAGGUUAAAGGGAGCUGUCAGGGCAACCGAAGCAGUGAACUGAAGCCCCAGUAAACGGCGGCCGUAACAAUAACGGUCCUAAGGUAGCGAAAUUCCUUGUCGGGUAAGUUCCGACCUGCACGAAUGGCGUAACGACUUCCGCACUGUCUCGACCAGAGACUCAGUGAAAUUGAAUUAGGGGUGAAGAUGCCCUUUACCCGCGGCAAGACGAAAAGACCCUGUGAACCUUUACUGCAACUUGGCAGUGAAUACAGGCCUUGACUGUGUAGGAUAGGUGGGAGGCUAAGAAGCCGGAGCACAAGUUUCGGUGGAGCCGUCGUUGAAAUACCACCCUGUCGAGUCCCGUAUUCUAACCUGGGCCGGUGAAUCCUGGCCAGGGACACUGUCUGGUGGGCAGUUUGACUGGGGCGGUCGCCUCCGAAAAAGUAACGGAGGCGUGCGAAGGUUCCCUCAGGCUGGGCGGAAACCAGCCGUUGAGUAUAAAGGCAUAAGGGAGCUUAACUGCGAG
rnacentral:rRNA from 1 species